rnacentral:rRNA from 1 species
UACGACUACAUAUCAGGCAUAUCAAUAAGCGGAGGAAAAGAAACUAACAAGGAUUCCCCUAGUAACGGCGAGUGAAGCGGGAAGAGCUCAAAUUUGAAAUCUUAAAGGGUUUCCCUUUACGAAUUGUAGUUUAAAGAAGUGUUUUCUGUUGGAGUUUCGGUAAAAGUUCUUUGGAAUAGGACAUCAUAGAGGGUGAGAAUCCCGUAUUUGACCGUUACUUUCCAGCUGUGUGAUACACUUUCAAAGAGUCGGAUUGUUUGGGAAUGCAGUCCAAGAUGGGUGGUAAAUUUCAUCUAAAGCUAAAUAUUGGCGAGAGACCGAUAGCGAACAAGUACCGUGAGGGAAAGAUGAAAAGAACUUUGAAAAGAGAGUUAAACAGUACGUGAAAUUGUCAAAAGGGAAGCGUUUGACACCAGUGUUGUUUAGUUGAAAAUCAAUUCAAUAGUUUUUGAUUCUAAGUAGUAUUGACUUCAUCAGCUUGCUGCUUUCUUCUCAGAAAUUAUUGAAUGCACUUUUCAGUUAACAAGUCAACAUCAAUUUCUUUUGUUGUAAAAGGGUAAGAGGAAGGUGGCUUGCGCUUCGGCUCAAGUGUUUAUAGCCUUUUAUCUCUGCAAUCGGAGAGAUUGAGGUCUGCAGCGUAGAUCCUUCGGGGUUAGAUACAUUGGUGCUAAGCUAUAGCCUUGUAUAGACAACUUGUUGACUAUGCUCAGUCAUGUAGCUUACUCGCUGAUGCUAUUUUACCUACGCUUAGGAUGUUGACUGAUAUGUAGUCGU